AAUCAACGCUGGCGGCAGGCCUAACACAUGCAAGUCGAACGCUGUAGCAAUACAGAGUGGCAGACGGGUGAGUAACACGUGGGAACAUACCCUUAGGUUCGGAAUAGCUCAGGGAAACUUGAGGUAAUACCGGAUAAGCCCUUCGGGGAAAGAUUUAUCGCCAUUGGAUUGGCCCGCGUCUGAUUAGCUAGUUGGUGAGGUAAUGGCUCACCAAGGCGACGAUCAGUAGCUGGUCUGAGAGGAUGACCAGCCACACUGGGACUGAGACACGGCCCAGACUCCUACGGGAGGCAGCAGUGGGGAAUAUUGGACAAUGGGCGAAAGCCUGAUCCAGCCAUGCCGCGUGAGUGAAGAAGGCCUUAGGGUUGUAAAGCU
rnacentral:rRNA from 1 species